rnacentral:rRNA from 1 species
GUGCGUAACGCGUAUACAACCUACCUUAUAGACGGGGAAUAGCCCAAGAGAAAUUUGGAUUAAUGCCCCAUAGUAUUAUCGAUUAGCACUUAAUUGAUGAUUAAACAUUUAUGGCUAUAAAGAUGGGUAUGCGUUCUAUUAGCUAGAUGGUAAGGUAACGGCUUACCAUGGCUACGAUAGAUAGGGGUCCUGAGAGGGAGAUCCCCCACACUGGUACUGAGACACGGACCAGACUCCUACGGGAGGCAGCAGUGAGGAAUAUUGGACAAUGGGCGCAGAGCCUGAUCCAGCCAUGCCGCGUGCAGGAAGACGGCCUAUGGGUUGUAAACUGCUUUUAUACAGGAAGAAACACUCCCUUGCGAGGGAGCUUGACCGGUACUGUACGAAUAAGGAUCGGCAUAACUACCGUGCCAGCAGCCGCGGUAAUACGGAGGAUCCAAGCGUUAUCCGGAAUCAUUGGGUUUCANAGGGUCCGUAGGCGGGAACACAUCCAGUCAGGCCGGUGAACAG